rnacentral:rRNA from 1 species
AAGAAACCAACAGGGAUUGCCCUAGUAACGGCGAGUGAAGCGGCAACAGCUCAAAUUUGAAAUCUGGCUUCGGCCCGAGUUGUAAUUUGCAGAGGAAGCUUUAGGCGCGGCACCUUCUGAGUCCCCUGGAACGGGGCGCCAUAGAGGGUGAGAGCCCCGUAUAGUUGGAUGCCUAGCCUGUGUAAAGCUCCUUCGACGAGUCGAGUAGUUUGGGAAUGCUGCUCAAAAUGGGAGGUAAAUUUCUUCUAAAGCUAAAUACCGGCCAGAGACCGAUAGCGCACAAGUAGAGUGAUCGAAAGAUGAAAAGCACUUUGAAAAGAGGGUUAAACAGCACGUGAAAUUGUUGAAAGGGAAGCGCUUGUGACCAGACUUGCGCCAGGCUGAUCAUCCGGUGUUCUCACCGGUGCACUCGGCCCGGCACAGGCCAGCAUCGGUUCUCGCGGGGGGAUAAAGGUCUCGGGAACGUAGCUCCUCCGGGAGUGUUAUAGCCCGGGGCGUAAUGCCCUCGCGGGGACCGAGGUUCGCGCAUCUGCAAGGAUGCUGGCGUAAUGGUCAUCAGCGACCCGUCUUGAAACACGGACCAAGGAGUCAAGGUUUUGCGCGAGUGUUUGGGUGUCAAACCCGCACGCGUAAUGAAAGUGAACGUAGGUGAGAGCUUCGGCGCAUCAUCGACCGAUCCUGAUGUUUUCGGAUGGAUUUGAGUAGGAGCGUUAAGCCUUGGACCCGAAAGAUGGUGAACUAUGCUUGGAUAGGGUGAAGCCAGAGGAAACUCUGGUGGAGGCUCGCAGCGGUUCUGACGUGCAAAUCGAUCGUCAAAUCUGAGCAUGGGGCGAAAGACUAAUCGA